GAGUUUGAUCGUGGCUCAGAGCGAACGCUGGCGGCAGGCCUAACACAUGCAAGUCGAGCGCCCAGCAAUGGGAGCGGCAGACGGGAGAGUAACACGUGGGAACGUGCCCUUCAGUUCGGAACAACCCAGGGAAACUUGGGCUAAUACCGGAUACGCCCUUACGGGGAAAGAUUUAUCGCUGAAGGAUCGGCCCGCGUCUGAUUAGCUAGUUGGUGGGGUAAUGGCCCACCAAGGCUACGAUCAGUAGCUGGUCUGAGAGGAUGAUCAGCCUCACUGGGACUGAGACACGGCCCAGACUCCUACGGGAGGCAGCAGUGGGGAAUAUUGGACAAUGGGCGCAAGCCUGAUCCAGCCAUGCCGCGUGGAUGAUGAAGGCCCUAGGGUUGUAAAGUCCUUUUAACGGGGAAGAUAAUGACGGUACCCGUAGAAUAAGCCCCGGCUAACUUCGUGCCAGCCGCCGCCGUAAU
rnacentral:rRNA from 1 species